CCAUUCUCUUUGCCAAGAAAACCCCAUGGUCCAUGAGAUCACAAAGAGUUGGACAUGACCGAAUGGCAGCAACAACAAACCAUAUGUUGUCAUCACCUUGAAGCUGCAGUGGCCAGGCCAGUCUUAGAGCCCAUGCUCCACCAGGUGGCACCAGAGGACACAAAGUUGUCCACGACUGUGCUGUAGACUAAGCUUUGCUUGUAAGAUUUACCAGUCUUUGAGACCAUUAUCUCACAUGGCCUUUCCCUCUCUGGAUCUUGUGAGAAGUAA